GUACACAAAAAUGCACAUGCUGUGAGCUCGAUGAGUAGGGCGGGACACGUGGUAUCCUGUCUGAAUAUGGGGGGACCAUCCUCCAAGGCUAAAUACUCCUGACUGACCGAUAGUGAACCAGUACCGUGAGGGAAAGGCGAAAAGAACCCCGGCGAGGGGAGUGAAAAAGAACCUGAAACCGUGUACGUACAAGCAGUGGGAGCACAGAGCAAUCUGUGUGACUGCGUACCUUUUGUAUAAUGGGUCAGCGACUUAUAUUCUGUAGCAAGGUUAACCGAAUAGGGGAGCCGAAGGGAAACCGAGUCUUAACUGGGCGUUAAGUUGCAGGGUAUAGACCCGAAACCCGGUGAUCUAGCCAUGGGCAGGUUGAAGGUUGGGUAACACUAACUGGAGGACCGAACCGACUAAUGUUGAAAAAUUAGCGGAUGACUUGUGGCUGGGGGUGAAAGGCCAAUCAAACCGGGAGAUAGCUGGUUCUCCCCGAAAGCUAUUUAGGUAGCGCCUCGUGAAUUCAUCUCCGGGGGUAGAGCACUGUUUCGGCAAGGGGGUCAUCCCGACUUACCAACCCGAUGCAAACUGCGAAUACCGGAGAAUGUUAUCACGGGAGACACACGGCGGGUGCUAACGUCCGUCGUGAAGAGGGAAACAACCCAGACCGCCAGCUAAGGUCCCAAAGUCAUGGUUAAGUGGGAAACGAUGUGGGAAGGCCCAGACAGCCAGGAUGUUGGCUUAGAAGCAGCCAUCAUUUAAAGAAAGCGUAAUAGCUCACUGGUCGAGUCGGCCUGCGCGGAAGAUGUAACGGGGCUAAACCAUGCACCGAAGCUGCGGCAGCGACGCUUAUGCGUUGUUGGGUA
rnacentral:rRNA from 1 species